ensembl:misc_RNA 7SK 7SK RNA
GGAUGUGAGGGUGAUCUGGCUGCGACAUCUGUCACCCCAUUGAUCGCCAGGGUUGAUUCGGCUGAUCUGGCUGGCUAGGCGGGUGUGCCCUUCCUCCCUCACCGCUCCAUGUGCGUCCCUCCCGAAGCUGCGUGCUAGGUCGAAUAGGACGACCAUCCCCGCUAGAGGAGGACUGGUCUUUGGUCACGGCUAUACGAGUAGCUGCGCUCCCCUGCCAGAACCUCCAAACAAGCUCUCAAAUAGAAUGAUUGUGUGUGUGCGUGCUGUGUGUUGACAUAAAACCAUGCUAUAGCUUUUGAAAAUAAUAGUUC